rnacentral:rRNA from 1 species
GACGAACGCUGGCGGCGUGCUUAACACAUGCAAGUCGAACGAAGUGGCGAACGGGUGAGUAACGCGUAAUCAACCUGCCCUUCAGAGGGGGACAACAGUUGGAAACGACUGCUAAUACCGCAUACUGAAGGAGGGGAUUGCGUCUGAUUAGCUAGGUGGGGGGGUAACGGCCCACCAAGGCGAUGAUCAGUAGCCGGUCUGGGGGGGUGAACGGCCACCUGGGGACUGGGGCACGGCCCAGACUCCUACGGGAGGCAGCAGUGGGGAAACGUCCGCAAUGGGCGAAAGUCUUACGGAACAACGCCGCGGGAGUGAUGACGGCCUUCGGGUUGUAAAGCUCUGUUAAUCGGGACGCGGUACCGGAAUAGAAAGCCACGGCUAACUACGUGCCAGCAGCCGCGGUAAUUC